rnacentral:rRNA from 1 species
AUUGAACGCUGGCGGCAGGCCUAACACAUGCAAGUCGAACGAGUGGCGGACGGGUGAGUAAUGUCUGGGAAACUGCCCGAUGGAGGGGGAUAACUACUGGAAACGGUAGCUAAUACCGCAUACUAUCGGAUGAACCCAUAUGGGAUUAGCUAGUAGGUGAGGUAAAGGCUAACCUAGGCCACGAUCCCUAGCUGGUCUGAGAGGGUGAUCAGCCACACUGGAACUGAGACACGGCCCAGACUCCUACGGGAGGCAGCAGUGGGGAAUAGUGCGCAAUGGGCGCAAGCCUGAUGCAGCCAUGCCGCGUGUAUGAAGAAGGCCUUAGGGUUGUAAAGUACUUUCAGCGGGGAAGCGUUACCCACAGAAAAAGCACCGGCUAACUCCGUGCCAGCAGCCGCGGUAAUUC